rnacentral:ribozyme from 1 species
UUUUUUUUUUUUUUUUUUUUUUUUUUUUUUUUUUUUUUUUUUCCU